GGUCAUGGUUCUAGAACUCUCACAUGUACCAACUCCCUUAAUCCCCAUAAAUUCCUGUGAGGUUACUAUUACCCCCAUUUUACAGAUGGGGAAACCAUAGCACAGAGAGGGGAAGAACCCAGGGAGCUGGAGUCCAGAGCAUGUCCUAUUGAGUCGUGGCCUUUGCUGGAAAUGUUCCUGGAAGACUGGUUCACUUCAAGGCACAGAAAGGGAAAUACAAGAGCAAUGUCUAUAGGAGGUCAGUAAUGGGGCCUACCUGGAUUGGAGCUAUCCAUGGGUAAUGGAGUGCAAGGGCAGAGACUGGACUGGGAGAUGCAGUGACCAGCUGGAUCCCUGGCCGGUGGGUCGCAGCCCUGGGGGGUCAUCAAAGUGUGGGUUAGUCUGGAGGGGGCGCCCAGUGACUGUCUCCCAAUGCUUGUGUUGGCCAGAAACCAUUUGGCAUCCUCUGUAGCAACUCCAAAUGGCAUGUGUAUGUUCCAGGUGAGGCGAUGUCAGCUGGAGGAGGAGGAAUGGAGAAACUACAGGACCCUAUCUGGAUCCAGGAAGAGCCAGGAGUGCGGGAACAAGGCAGCCCAACCUAAUAAGGUGAAUUUCCAGCUUCCCUGGGAGGGUUGAGAUGGAAACUAUGGACCUGUCUUGUUUGGACUGAAGUGGUACCACACAGGGGCUGCCUGGCCAUGGACCACAGCGUUCCCAUCUCCCCGUCAGCCACAGACACAAAGAGGAGCUGGAGUUCUGCACGCCAGAUGUCACUGUACUGCGGUGAACAGGAAAGGGGACUAAUUCCCGGGUCACCCGGCCCAAAUCCUGAAUCAUCUUUCCCGCCAGCUGGAGCCGCAGUGUCUACUGAAGAUGCAAAAACUGAGGCUCCUUGACAGCUGCAGUCCUUUAAAGCCAUGGUGCAGCUACCCAGAGGUGGAAUGCAUCCUUGGCAAUCCGUCUCACGAAGCCCUCCAGGUGACUGCAAAGUGCCGGAGUGACGACCCCAUGGCUGGGGUUGUGCAGUGGUGACCAUUUUCCAGAAAGGAAAACCUUCCGUUAAAAGCUGUUGUUUUCUGGAGUAUUUCAAUCCUAGAUACCACAUCAUCUCACCUGUAACUACUUUCGUAAGCCUAUGUAACAGAUGUGGGUCAGAUUCCCAGCGAUGCCCAACUCUGAUGCCGAAGAAAGCCGGGAGACUUGCGAGGGACUUAAAGAGACAGCACAGCUUUUCCAGGUAAAACUAGUUUGUUCCACACAGGAGCUCUGAGAUAAAGAAACCAAAAGGAAGGUCCAAUAGGAGGGUGCGAGUGAAUGGUGGGAGUGGUGGGUUCUGUGUUCGCCUGCCGUCAUUUGAGCAGAGUCCCCUGUGUGCCAGGUGCUGCUCUAGAAACUGAUUUUGGUGUUUAUACAGGCUCCUUUCUCACAACUCCCGAUUGUUGUCCUUUACAACUGCAGGCCAUGGCUGUCUCUUUUUUGUUUGUUUGUUUUUUGAGACAGUGUUUUGCUCUUGUUGCCCAGGCUGGAGUGCAAUGGCACGAUCUCGGCUCACUGCAACCUCCACCUCCUGGGUUCCAGCGAUUCUCCUGCCUCAGCCUCCCAGGUAGCUGGGAUUACAGGCAUGUGUCACCACACCCAGCUAGUUUUGUAUUUUUAGUAGAGACGGGGUUUCACCAUGUUGGUCAGGCUGGUUUUGAACUCCUGACCUCAGGUGAUCCACCCACCUCAGGCUCCCGAAGUGCUGGGAUUACAGGUGUGAGCCACUGCGCUGGCCUCAUUUUUUUGAGAUGGAGUUUUGCUCUCGUUGCCCAGGCUGGAGUGCAAUGGUGCGGUCUCAGCUCACAGCAACCUCUGUCUCCUGGGUUCAAACGAUUCUCCUGCCUCAGUCUCCUGAGUAGCUGGGAUUGCAGGCAUCCGCCACCACGCCCCACUAAUUUUUGUAUUUUUAGUAGAGACAGGGUUUCACCAUGUUGGCCAGGCUGGUCUUGAACUCCUGACCUCAGAUGAUCCGCCUGCCUUGGCCUCCCAAAGUGCUGGGAUUACAGACAUGAGCCACCUUGCCCAACCCAUGGCUGACUCUUAAUCAGCUUCCCUCAAACCCACAACUAAGGGUUCCCUCUGUCUAUUUCAAGGCUGGGUAAACUCCAGGCUGCUAGAUUGGACAUGUUCAUUAUACUAAUGGCAUCUGUUUCCUCUGAUCAGCACCAUGAUACCACAAGGAAAGCAGGCAGGCAUCGUUAGCUUGGUGCACAGAUGGGACCACCAGGGCCGGGAGGGUGAUGCUUGUUAGGGUUUCGCUGAGGCUCAGGUGCCAUUGGUUCCAAACACAUGUGCUUUUCCACAGCAUGCUGAGACCUGAGGGCUGAGUGCAGCUCUUUGGAACUUAGGAAGAAAGAAGUGGGACCAAGAUGGGCAAAGGGGCUGGGUGCAGAGAUCCAUCUCGUGCUACUAGUCCAGCCCAUCUCCAACCCAGCUUCAUCAUAGAGCUGUCCUAUCUCUGCCACCACACAUACCCAGCUAAGAGAUAGUUCUUUUUUUAAAUAGCAAAGGCAGAUUUAUUUGCUUAAGUUUCCUGGCAGCCCUGGCAGCUGGUUGAAACACCUGUGAGCUCUGCCGCAGCUCCUGCUAAAGCCACUUCAUUGUGUUUGUAGGGUACAGCUGUGCAGCUGCCCAUGGGUCUGGGCAGGCUCCUCUAACCUCUGAAGUUCUGCAGAUCUUCGCAGGCUCCCUCCCCAGCCUCCCCCGGGGUGCCAUCCUUGGGGCAAGCAGCUAUCACCCCUGUCUGGGCUUGGUAAGGAGUAGUCUAUAUUGUGUGGACCUGCGCUGGAGAAAGCAUGGCCCGGGGACCAGUAGACAUGCAGAAUCUCGGGCUCCACACCACAACGUCUGAGUCAGUUUCUUCAUUGCCACAAGGUCCCCAAGUGCUCCGUGCACACACUAAAGUAUGAAAGGAGUCCUGCUUUGAGACGUGGCUGCCCACCUGCAGAAGACUGCGGUCCAGGCCAGGAAUGAUGAGGCCCCUCACCCACUCUCCACUUCCAUUGUUUCUGCUUUUGCCGCAAUUGACAGUUGUCUUAUUUAUUUGUUUGCUUAUUGUUUAUCUCCCGCAGAAUAUAAAUUAUAUGGGCAAAGAUACUGUUUCAGUCAGUGCCGAAUUCUUAGUGUCUUGCCCAGAGCUCUGCACAAGGUAGGUAUCCAAAAAAUAUUAGUAGGUUGGCCGGUGAGUUGGAUGAAGGAAUGAAGGAAGGAAUGAAGAUAGAGAAAGGGGGAGGAAGGAGAGAAACAGGUAGGUGCUUUGGCUGACAAGUUGGCUGUCCUCCUCUUAAGAUCCUUAGAGACAAUUCUUGUUACUCUCACUCUCCUGUGAAUGCUCUGGCCCAGGUGCAAGGCCGCUGUUAGUAGCAAUGUGACAGGGAGGGGUGUAGAGUGCUUGCAAGAAUUCUCCAGUCACCAGCACUGUGACUGCAGAAUGUGGUUGUCACAUUUAUUUCAGCUGGGAAACUCUUUUGUAAAUGAAACCUGAUGCAGAAACCUGAUCUAGGUGAUGUAUGUAUCCAGGGGGGUUCAUUGCUCUCGGGUUCCAGAUCAGGGGAUGCUGACAUGCCCAGCUCAGGUCUCCCAACCACAAGUGCCCUGCAAGGGACAGGGUCUUCCUUGCACCCCUUCCCCUCCAUCCUUCUUGUUCUCACCUGUGUUAGAUUGCAUGCACAAAAGCUCUUCUGUGUCUCUUCUUUCGUGAGGGAGCUUGAUGGUUCAUCAGGGUAAGGCCAAAGCCAGUCAUGUUCCUGCAACAGAGCCAGGCUGAUAGUAGUGGGCAAGCACCCUGAGUCUUCCCUGGAGCCCAGCAAUCUUCCCCAGCCCCCACGAGAUGGACUUUUUAACCUGCUGAACAGAUAACAGCAGAAGUGCGUCUAGUGCCACAGAGCCUCCUCCCUAAGGACAACCCCUCCCCAGCUGCCUCCUUGUUGCACCUGAAGAGUUACCCAGUGACAAACCAUGGUCAAUAAAUCUCUCCUACCCAACUUUGAAGAUGAAAAAACUAAAGCCAGAGAGGAGCAGUGACCUGCCUUUGGCUCCCAGUGGCCAAGCUGGGGUGACAGUUGCUUCCCCUGGGAGAUGCAUAGCUCUUCCCCCAAACCCUUCUCCAGCCUGGCCCUCUCUUUGGGCAAAAGAAAAAUGCUAAGCAAUGGUGAGUCACUAGACUGAUGAUCCCUAGGGGCCAAGUCACGGAGAGGUGACUUGUUUUUCUCUGUGGUCAAGCGUCCUUCUACUGACAACCCUUCAGUAGUGUGAACUUCAGACUGAUCUUUGAUAUUCGGUGCCUGGGUUGCCAUCACAAGUGUGGGAUGGCAUGCAAUCAGAACACAGCAGCAGGCAGCUUUGGCCCUUGAAUCAUUUGCUCAUAAAAGAUUACUUUUCAGUAGCUGCAGAAUCAAAAUUGUGACGGCAUAAUUGAGACACACAAUGGAUCACAUGGUUCCCUUUUUUUUUUUUUUGGAGAUGGAGUUUUGCUCUUGUCACCCAGGCUGGAGUGCAAUGGCACGAUCUCAGCUCACUACAACCUCUGCCUCCCGGGUUCAGGUGAUUCUCCUGCCUCAGCUUCCCGAAUAGCUGGGAUUACAGGCAUGUACCACCAUGCCUGGCUAAUUUUGUAUUAUUAGUAGAGAUGGGGUUUCACCAUGUUGGCCACCAGACUUGUCUCGAACUCAGGUAAGGAGUUCCUCAGCCUGCCUCAGCCUCCCAAAGUUCUGAGAUUAUAGGUGUGAGCUACCAUGCCCAGCCACACAUGGUUCACUUUUACAGGAAGGGACCCAUUCUUGCAGGGCACUGCUGUCUUCUGUGGCCCUUCUCACACUUGUAACUGCUAGUUCAGCUCCUGCAUUCCCACCUGACUCCACACACCAAGACUCACGUUUGCUGUUGUUCAGGCUCUGGCAUACCAGAUACUUGAUAAAUGUUGGCUGAAUGAAUGAAUAAACAAAUCUACAAUUCAGUGGAACUCAUCUGGAGUUUCUUGGUUAUUUGUUGUAGGUUUGUCCACACAAUGUCUUUUUAUCAAAUGCUCCAGUUAUCUCCCAGACUUGCCUUGAUGUGGAGACUAACUCUCUUUUUGGUUUCAUUCUAGCUGGGUUUUAAGUUGGCUUUGGGAACACGAUGCACGAGAAAGUGAAACAAUAUGCAGACAGCAGACAGCAGACUGCUGCACUAAUGGAGACACGUGGGGGCUGUGGCCCUCCGGGGCUGCUAAGCUUAACCCUCUGAAACUGCCUUGUGGGUGAGAAAUCACUUUCUGGAAAUCGGGGGUGGUUUUCACCUUCCUCACUGGGGAAACAUUUGAAGCUAUUUCUGACGUCCACACCCAUCCUCCCAGCUUGCUCAAGGAAUUGUUAGAAGUGGCCUCCUAGGUAUGCAGGGGGCUCCUCAGGUGUUCAGCUCAGAGAUCCAUGCUGGGCGCAAGAUGUGAUAUCUGCAGUCUAGGUAUGUAAAAUCAGAGAGGGGAUGGGUGAAAAACAAGGUUUUUAAAAAAAUGUUUUUAAAAGAGGAGUUAAAAAAAAAAACAAAAAACAGGGGCAGGCUGAGUGCAGUGGCUUAAGCCUGUAAUCCUAGCACUUUGGGAGGCCAAGGCAGAUGGAUCACCUGAGGUCAGGAGUUCAAGACCAGCCUGGCCAACAUGGUGAAACCCAAUCUCUACUAAAAAUACAAAAAUUAGCCGGGUAUGGUGGUGCAUGCCUAUAAUCCCAGCUACUCAGGAGGCUGAGGCAGGAGAAUUGCUUGAACUCAGAAGGCAGAGGUUGCAGUGAGCUGAGAUUGUGCCACUGCAUUCCAGCCUGGGCAACAGAGUGAGACUCCAUCUUAAAAAAAAAAAAGAGCAGCAAGUAUGUGCCCUUCUCUUCCCUGUGCACUGUCUAUGUAUGUAGUUAUUUUUUACUUUUUGAGGUGGAGUAUCACUCUGUUACCCAGGCUGGAGUGCAGUGACACAGUCUUGGCUCACUACAGCCUCUGCCUCCCAGGUUCAAGCAAUUCUGGUGCCUCAGCCUCUCAAUAGCUGGGACUACAGACAUGUGCCACCACACCUAAUUUUUUUAAAUAGACAGAUUUUACCAUGUUGGCUAGGCUGGUCUCGAACUCCUGACCUCAGGUGACCUGCCUGCCUCCACCUUCCAAACUGCUGGGAUUACAGGUGUGAGCCACCAUGCCUGGCCUAUCUAUGUAGUCUUAACUUACCACACAUGUAUUAAGCCCUAGGAUGAAGUUCCAUUUUAUUUGGUUCACAGCAUUGUCAGUUUUUUGGAAAACAAGUGUUGAAUGAUGUGUUUUCAGCUUGGAAUUGAAAGGUGCAGCGAGGAAGUGGGUUUCCUAGUCUGAUCUCACCAGGAGACUUGAAGUGGGAAUUUGCAAUUAAAGACUUCCUGUUUGCAUGAAGAACAUCCAGACUCAAAAAAAAGAAAAGAAAAAGGUGGCUAGACCAGGUCAAUGGGCUUCAAAACACAAGGCUUCCACUCCUGUCAUCAUUGCUCACACAGGGAGAGAAAGAGGAAGAGGUUUCUCCUGUUUCCAUGGCUUUGUGUCCUCAGGCUGUUGGUCUCCCUGACAGUUGCGAUGUGACUGCUUUUUCACUUGUUGUGACUCCUCACCCCAGGAACUGGGAUCUUUAGCUCCAUAAUAAUGCCGCCAAAGUGGUGUGUAAUUCUCCAUUUCCCUAACAGUGACCACCUGCAGUGGGUUAAAAGAUGGCUGUAAGUUUCUGCCACCUCUCCCACCAAGGGGUGAAGAUUCUUUCCACUCUUCUUGCAUCUUGGCUGGAAUAUGACUUGCUUUGCUCAAUAGAAUGUGACAAAAGUGAUGUUGCAUAACUUCCAAAGUCAGGGCUUAAGAGAUUUGCAGCUUUUGCUUUCCCUUGCUUGGAACACUCCCACUUGGAAUUCAGCACUGUGCUGUAAGAAGCUCCAGCCUAGUGGAGAACCCAUAUGGAAGGAAACUGAGGUGCUUCUAUUGACAAUUCACCUAAGCCCCUGACUGACAGCCAGCAUGAACUGCCAGCAAGGUGAAUGAAUGAGAGAGUGCCACUCCAGCCCAGUUGAGCUUCUAGACAAGUGUGGCCCCAGAUGACAUCACCAUAGAACAGAAGAACCACCCAGCUGAGCCCAGUCUACCCAUAGAAAUGUGAGUGAUGAUAAAUGGUUUUUGUUUUAAGCUACCAUAUUUUGGGAUCAUUUGUUAUGCAGCAGUGCACAAAUGAAACUUAGAGUGGGGUUUGUGAAGAUUUCUGAAGGCAGAGAAUGUCUUUUCCUCACUUCUUACAAAGUGCAGUGUUUGGCUAGGGUGUAAAUUUCCAAUGAAAACUGGACCUGGGAGGUGAUUUUUUAAAUAUUAGAAUCAAAGGGGCCCUUGCAGAACACCUUACCUACUUUUUACUCAUAGGCAGGUGACCUUCCUUGUCAGCUGGAAAGCCCUGUCUUCAUUCUGGCAUCAAUAAGCCUCUCCUUCCCUGGAUGAUCUUCUCAAACUAUUUUCAUCAUGUGGAUUGCAUGUAAAUUACUUAUCUUCCCUCCCUCUACCUCCAACCUGCCAGCAACAUCUGGAUGCUUUUUAAAGUCAAAUCUUGGUCCCCGUGGACAAAAUGUCAAAGGCUGUCUCUACUCAUCCUUCACAUGAGUGAAGGUCAAGGAAGGCUUGGGGUACCCCAGAUUUCAGGGCUGCCUCCCAGUGCUGGGUUUCCUGUGGCUGCUCCAAGCUUCACCUUGAGGAGCCCAUGUUAGCAGUACCCGAUGUUAGCAGUACCCCAGGCAUCUCUGUCAAUUCCAGGGAUGCCAUAGAGGCUUCAGAACUAAAUGGACGUGGAUCCAGUUUUAUUUCAAACAAUCCUCCAUGAGUGGGGCAAGUGAGAGUCACUGAGAGCAGAAUGAGAGCCUCUCAGGAGAGGAUCAAGUAGGCAUAAGACUCUCACCCUCCUGGAGUCCCCAGGUGCACCUUGCUGUGGUGUUUGUUGACAACCUUACGAUGCCAGAUGCUGCCAAACCACAAUUCAACUUGUACUGCUGCCUGAGGUCAGGCUCCCCAUUUGUCCCAGCAAUCUCGUUACUGGGUGUAUACCCAAAGAACUAUAAAUCAUUCUACUAUAAAGGCACAUGCACACAUAUGUUCGUUGCAGCCCUGUGUACAAUAGCAAAGACCUGGAACCAACCUAAAUGCCCAUCAAUGAUAGACUGGACAAAGAAAAUGUGGUACAUAUAUACCAUGGAAUACUACGCAGCCAUAAAAAAUGAUGAGUUCGUGUCCUUUGUAGGGACUUGGAUGAAUCUGGAAACCAUCAUUCUCAGCAAACUGACACAAGAACAGAAAGCUAAACUCAAUGAGAACACAUGGACUCAGGGAAAGGGGGCAGUUGCAGGGGUAGGGGAGAGACAGUAGGGAUGGGGAGGGAUAACAUGGGGAGAA